rnacentral:rRNA from 1 species
UACGUAGGGGGCUAGCGUUGUCCGGAUUUAUUGGGCGUAAAGAGCUCGUAGGCGGCUUGUCGCGUCGUCCGUGAAAACUUGGGGCUCAACCCCAAGCUUGCGGUCGAUACGGGCAGGCUCGAGUUCGGUAGGGGAGACUGGAAUUCCUGGUGUAGCGGUGAAAUGCGCAGAUAUCAGGAGGAACACCGGUGGCGAAGGCGGGUCUCUGGGCCGAUACUGACGCUGAGGAGCGAAAGCGUGGGGAGCGAACAGG